AGAUCUUUACCUGAAGGAGUUGAAUUUAAGAUCCCCGGUUUGACUAAAACUAGAGCCCCAGGGAAAGAUGUUACCUUUUUCUUCCCUGCCUUUAGAGAUAAGGCUAAGCUGUGUCCAGUGUCGUGUUUAGAAGAGUAUAUUAAACGGACACAACGUCACCGGUUGCACAAUGCUAAUGAUCAACUGUUUUUGUCAGUACAAAAACCUUUUACUGCUAUUUCUACAGCAUCUAUUGGGAGAUGGUUGAAGGACGUCCUAAAGGAGGCAGGAGUAGAUACGUGUGUCUUCAAGGCACAUUCCACAAGGAGUGCGUCUACGUCUUCAGCGAGAAGAAGUGGAGUUUCGGUUCAGGACAUUUUGAAUGCUGCAGAUUGGUCUAGAGAGACAACAUUCAAUCGCUUCUAUUAUCGCCAGACUUAUUCAAGCUCUUUUGGCAGAGCAGUCCUGUCAUAGGUGGUUGACAGAUUGGACAUUUUGACAUUACUGGACGUCACAUUUUUGUUAUUGUUGCAAUAAACAUUUCAUUUCAUCA